rnacentral:sRNA from 1 species
UCCUCCGGAACGCCGAAUCCUGCCGCCGGAGGAGGGAAACCACGACGCACCACGGCAGGAGCGGGGGACCCAAAGGUAAGUCGCCGGACCGUGUGACACACCACACGGUGCGGCUUGGGGUGAAGACGCGCAGGACGGCCGAGCCGGCCGUGCGCAUGCGUCCGGGCAACUCCAGCCCGAACCCGACAGCUCACCUCGUAGGCGUAGGAGAGGAAAUAC